GUGUUUAUUUGAGAAACACGCCCUCUUAUAUCAGAUCUGCAUCAACAUGGCAGCAGGUGGGGUGUUGAGAAUCAUCGUCUUCAGCUUUUGGAAUUACCAUUUUGACACAAAAGACGCACAGCACAGUGCAAGACGUGCAACAUAAACAUCUCGGACAGCCAAGCACAACUUCAACCUUUGUUCGUCAUUUGAAGAGCCAUUCUGCCAUCGAUCCACCCAGUUUCAAUCUUAACCACAACUGGCUGCCACAGAAAACCCAGUGUGUGAGCACAGUAAACCGUGCGUUGUUCAGCAGGGUGUCAGUGUUGCUGUUGCCCUCGGCAGACGAAGCUGAUGUUGUCGCUGUCGCUGUCCUGAAUGGAUAAUCGUGACACCAAAUCCUCUGAUCAGCGUGAGAAAGAAUCUUUGUAAAGAUGGUGUCUCCAUGUGCUUCCUGUCCUCUCGUCUCCCAUUUCCUCCCAGCGUGCUGUUCAACACGCCGCAGUGCCUUUUAAAGAGAUAGUUCAGAAUAUCCUCCUCUCUCAUCCUCGAGGGGAGACCGUGAGAGUUCAGGCACCGCUGGAGACCGGAGAGGAUGAAGCCACUCCCAUCUACUGGGAACUGAAUGGCCUGAAUGGAGACGACUAUCACUGCCAGCCUUCUCUCCCUGGACUCAAACUCCCUUUCCUCUCUCCAAGUUCUUCUGCUUUGUUCUACUGGCUUUGUCGCACUCUCGCCUGCUUUUGAAAUCCCAGCAGUGACUUCACUGAGUGAAAUGUGAUCUUUGGAAGCAAAACCCAGGUUGUUGUAACAAUUCCUUGACUCAACUGUCGCUACAGCUGGUUCAAAGACAGUCGCAAUACUUACACAUGUCAUAUCAUUUUCGUGACGGCGUACGGCAGGUGAGGUGUAGCGAUGGUACUAGCAGUUGGCUGCUGCAAACAUCCGACUGAAAGCCCCAAAGCCUAACACCAGCUUCCAGUCAAGGAUGUUUACAGUAGCCCUGACUGCCAACCGGCCCGGAGAGGACGCAGCACCUACAGGUCACUUGGGGAACAAAGCAAACUUUAUCAGAACAUUGCAAUCCCGCAUUCCCCAGAUUCUUAGCACUUGGCAACGGGCUAACACACAGAGCAACGAGGGAGAGAGGGAGGAGGAGGAGGAAGGCUCAAUCCCAGGCUACGUCAAAAACUACAAAUUGAGUAUAAUUCAGAAAGCAAAUCCUUCAAAUCUAUUGAUGUUAGUAAAGAAGAGAGAGAAGACGCACAUUACAAGUAUCAGCAGGGUUAUGGAAGACCUGGCUAGACUUUGAGAAACACCAGCACCACUAAUGUCACUGAUGCGAGAUCCCAGUGCUAUAACGUAUUGCGGGAUGGGCCCAAGAAUUCAGGAAGUCACUCCUGCCGUCUCCAUGGCAACCCUGAGGUCAGCCCUGCGAGGCCGGAGACCCCUCCUCAAACACAAAGAGCCAAGAGGCCUGGAUCAACACAAACAACCCGGCUUACACACACAUACACAGGGACAUAAACUGCAUUCGACUAACUAAAGGACUUCCUGUGUAACCAUUACUGCAACAGCACAUAUUCAGUGUACUGUAAAUAACUCAGGAAGAUGCUGCACUGGAAUGGAAUGGAAAGACUAUGACAAGGAUUUGGGAAACUGUUAUUCAACUAACUGGUUAACAAACUGAUGUUACAAUCCUUCCACUGCCCAGAGUAGAUCAUUGGCUAUAUACUGACACAUUUCACUGACUCUUGGUGGUAAACUACCAUUUUAUGAAUAGUGAGAUGAGAAAAGCACGUACAGUAGCACACUGGGCUAAUCAUAGGUUAUACAGGAUAGUGGAUAGUUAAGGUAGGGUUGUGAAAGAGACUGAAAUAUGAUAUAUAAAUCAUAUUUUGAACUGUUUUCAACAGGAAUUGAUGGUUGUGAGCAACAGGAAAAUGUAAAGAGCUGAACCUCACAGCAUUUCGAUUGAUUUCUAAUUAAUGCCCGAAAAAACUGAUGUCCCUUUUUAAGGAUUUUUUCCAAGAAAAUGACUCUAUGUUCAGUGCUGCACCGUUGGAAUGAUACUUACACAUUACUCACUGUGAAAGCUUUUCCCUCAGUCUUCCACACAUUCAUUCUGCCUGGGAACUGAACCGACUACCAUCCCAAGGGAGGAAAGAGUCGGAUGAAUGGACAGGGCUGAGAGGGUCACUUUCAUAUGCAGCCCAUGCAGAUUAAUGAUUAACUACUUUAAAUGUACUUUUAGGAUUGAACCAUUCAGUGAUCUAGUGGUACUGUGAUGAAUGAAUGAACUACGUAUGACCUCCAGCUGGUGAUUAUCAUAAGAUGAACAACCGGCAAUAUGAAAUAAAAUUCAUUACAAGGCGUUCCUUCAACCUUUGAAGCUCCUAUCCACUGGUUUAAAUCUUGUUAAUAUAUCACCCUAUAAGGGACCCUAACCUUCAACGCACCAAGUUCAAAUAGUUAAUCCCCCUACACAUCCCUUACUAAUCUACUUAUUCUAUUCUAUUCUAUACACAUUCUAUUAAUAUAUGACAUAAUGACUUCACAUUAAUUUUGGAAAUAGCCUACUUGAAAUUAAAAAAUGGUGUGACUGUACAAUUCAGAACUACUGUAAAUAGGAUGCUGCACUCAUUUUUCAAUGAGAAGCCAUUUUGAACAAGAGUAAUCCGAUUACAUCGAGCUAUUUCUGAGAAAACUGUCUUAUUAUUACAUUUUAAAAAGGAAAGGGGAUUUUCAUUGUGAUUAUUCAUGGAGAGAAAUACAUUCAUAUAGGCUAUUGGCCCUAAUUUAUAAAUAUUACCAUACAGUACAACGCACUUUGGACAUUGUAAGUUUGAUUUGAUGACAUGCAUUUGUUAAACAUAUUUUUGGGACAUUACGUGCAGAUCACAAUUAAUGUCACGCAGGUUUUGUUUUUUUCUUUUUUCUUUUUAACACACUAAAAUGUGCUGUACUCCCGCACCAUGAGAAAUGUAUUUGGAGUGACUACUUUAGUUUGUUCUUCAGCAAGCUAUUCUAUAUUCUGAAGUACACUUUGACAGGCAUCACAGUUAAUUAAAGCACCCCACUCUGAGCUCCACCGCUGGUGUGAAUCGCAGGAGCUGACGAGGAUACGCUCGGUCCUGCUCUAACCAAACGAAUAACAAAAAUCUAUCAAUUUAGAAUUCUUUAGAUUAUGCGCAUGGCUGUAUGCUAGGUUAAGCCUAAGUAAGUGCAUUUUAAUAUUCAAGUGUGCUUACCAGCCAAUUCGGCUUCUUUAUAUUUCACUCAUUGGCGUCACAACUACUCCAGCAAAGUUUUUUUGUCGACACUGGCACAACUUUUUAUUUGAAUCCCAUGCCGAAUUCAUACGUGUUGUAUUGUUAUGCAUUUGAUGUUUAGAUUAUUCUUCUACAAUGUAAGCAAGUGUGCAAAAAAGCUAUGUCAACUCACAAUCCAUGGGUUUCAGAACGGAGGCAGGCAUAACAGUAAAGCCCCGUGCGAACCAGACCGGAGGCAAGUUUACUCACGGAGAGCUCGUCCCGGUGGACAGCAGUUGCAGACAAGCGGAGCAGCUUCGUCUCUCUUCGCGAUGUCGCUUUUUAGGAUGAUUUCUAAUGCGGUCACUCCUGGUGGACUCUGACAAACAGUGACAUAAAUGUUUUAGUUUUUUUUUUUGUUUUUUGUUUUUUUUUAAAGUCUAGUGUGAGUCAAACUGAAUGCAGUCUUCUGCAGAUGCCGGCCACUUGUCCUCAGUGUGUCCAGUGGAGCGGGUGGAGGGUGGGGGGUGAACUUGGUGAUGACUAAGACUGUUUUAAAAGUUAAGGAAAUCGGAAGCUGUCGCUCCUCUUCAUUUUCCUUCCAGUCCCUGGAGCCUUCCUCCCUCUGCCCCCCAGCUGAGACUGAACGCUGUUAACUCGGGACGUUUUUUUGUACGGUGAAAAAAGUGGACGGAGUCCGGCCCUUAUUUUCAGUGACCGGUGUCUAGUUAAGCCAGAAUCGUUACUCACAGCAAGAAUCCGUUUCCGGCUAUUCCUUUCGGAAUAAAAAGCAACAUAUGGAAAACACAGAAUACAUAAAGUAUUCAUAGGCCUUCUUUAACACGUUUAUUAAAGAACAACAUU